ACACACACACACACACAGACACACACACACACACACACACGUGUUAUUAUUUUUUUAAACCUUAUCUUCAGACAAAUCUCACAAGCAGAAUAAUGACCAGCACAAAUUCACUUUUUGUGAAUUUGUUCAGUACAAUAUAACAAUAUUAUAAUGUAACAAUAUAAGAAAACAAAAAGCCACAGGAAGGAAAACAAACAGACCAAAGGAACGACUAUGGAGCUGCAGGUCCCGAGUGUACUGCAGAGUACUACUCUCUGUGUACUGCUACCACACCAGUACUGCAUCACUACUGCAGAGUACUACUCUCUGUGUACUGCUACCACAUCAGUACCACAGAGUACUAUAUCACACUGCACACUAAACUUCAAACCCUGGUCGACAGAGCCUUCUGUGUGACAGCUCCACUCUCCCAGCUGAAAUCAAACGGACUUGUCUGGAAACAGACUUAAAAACCAUCUCUCUACUACUACUACUACUAAUGAUAAUAACAAUAACAAUAAAAUAAUAAUAAUAACAAUAAUAAUGAUAAUAAUAACCACAAUAACAAUAAUAAUAAUAAUAAUAAUAAUAAUAAUAAUAAUAAUAAUAAUAAUAAUAAGGCCUAUCAGCUCAAGGUCCAGCCCCAACAAUCAACUUUUCUGUUUCUUUACCCAUUUAUCCUUUGUUUAGUUAAUGUUAAGUGUCCUUUGGUACCCUGAAAGGCGCUAUAUAAAUCAAUAUAUCAUUAUUAUUUAUUACUCCAUCAGUACUACAUCAGUACGACAUCAGUACUACAUCAGUUCUACAUCAGUUCUACAGUACCAGUGGGACAGUGAGAGUGAACGCAGGUGAGUCAUGUGUCAGUUUGGAUGUUUUUAUUUCAUUUAUAACCUCAUUAACAUUUCUCACUGUGUGUUCUUACAGCAGAGCAUGAUGGGAAACAGACAUGAACAGGAUGGAAGGCAGUGGCCGGCCACUAACCAGUAACCUGCAAUCAAUCAAUCAAUACUCAAUAAUCAGGAUGAACCAGAGAGCAGAGCUAGAAGAGAGGAAGAGACAACAUGCUCUACAUCGAGAGAAAGGAGACCAUGGUGGCUGUUGUCAUGGUAACCAGGGUCCCAUGGUUGCUAUGGUAACAGUAUUGUGAAGCCAGCAGCUGUGAAUGUCAGAGUCACCAUGGCAACAACAGGGAGCAGUCAGGCCCGGUCGACCUGUGUGUUAUAAAUGUGUCUGAUGAAAUGAAUCAACAUGAUUUGGUUUUAUGUUUCUGCUUCAUCUCAGCCAAUGAUGUGUGAUGAUAGUCUCCAUGGUAACAGCUGAUCAUACUGUAAUGAGGAGGAGACAGAAAAGCUUCCUGAACCAACUGACAUCAGAACCAGAACAGGAAGUAACAAACUCUGCUGAAUACUGACAGCAGGUUCGGUACAGUUAAAUCAAAAGUGUGAGGCAGAGUCCAGAACAUCUGAACUACGACUGGUACUGUCUCUUUAACUACUGAAACCAGAUGAAGCCUCGUCUGAUUGGUUGACACAGGACAGUGACUCGCCCAACAAACCAUCCUGAUGUGAACUGAACUCUGACUGUUGUGCUCACUAACAUUAGAUUCACUUAAUUCAGUGGUAUGAAGCCCAUGACAGGGUUAGCUAACAUGCUAAUCAUAAGCUUUGAGAGAGCCGUUGAGAGAGUAGUCUCCUAGCUAGAGCUAACUUGCUUUGGAGGGUCCUCACAUGUCUGAAGCAUCUUGUUGAUGUAGCAUUAGCACGUGUUAGACCUCCAAACUGUGGUUUCAUCUGUGUCUAAAAUGUCCUCUGGGACGAUGAACUCAAACAUGGCGUCACGUCCAAAAGUAAGAAGAAGAAGAAGAAGAAGAAGAAGAAGAAGAAACACUUCAACACAACAGCUGAUGUGAUAAAUUAUCCAACAACUGUUGAGCUCUGUAUACUGAGACUGUAGAGAAAGUGCACACUGGACUGAUACAACACACCACUGUUCAACUGUAUCAUACACACACUGGUCAGAAUGGGUCAGAACCAGUCUCCAAAAAGUCUCUUGCACCAGAAAGAGAAUAAAACUCAAAGCUAAAAUAAUCAACAGUUAGUCAACACAAGACUCAAGACUACAGAUGAUGAUGAUGAUGGUGAUGAUGGUGAUGAUGAUGAUGAUGAUGAUGGUGAUGAUGAUGAUGAUGAUGGGAACUGUGUGGCUGUGUUACUGGCCAUUUCCUUCCAUUCCCACUGAGACAGGAGGACAACAGGCCUGCAGCCCGCUGAGACAGCCAGAGCCGCACACGGAGCAGCAGAGCUCACAGAGAGACGACGGCAUUUAACAAAUCCAGUUUCAAAUCAUUUUGUAGCCCAGAGUCAGACGGAGAUCAUAUCGUGUGUGUUCAGUAUAGAGAUGAUGUGCUUAGCAUAGCUUAGCACAAAGACAGCAGAAGUUAGGCUACAACAUGUUUUCGUUACACUUCUUGUUGGGAGGGUUUAUAAUAAAUAUGAAGAAAUGAUGUCCAAUAAAAUACGAGCUGAAUUCAUCUAAACAACAAGUUUUUCUUCUCUGUGAGAGACGGACAUUUGGUGUUGUUCAGCUUGUGUUAGCGCAUAGCACUGCUAGCCUUCCUCCAUCAAAACAUUCACUGCUAUUUAAUGUCAUGCUAAUCAAAAAGAAGAAGCUGCUGCUGUUUAGCAUUAUUCUUAUAGCUAAAAAAUAACUUCUCAAACUAUUAGCUUAGCAAAGCACAGAGUUGUCAACCUGUGAAUAGCAUUUUGCUGAGACAUGUUAGUUGAGAGUAUUGAUUUUGGCAGCUGGCUCAUUAUGCUUAAUGCUAAAUUAAACGCUGCUUACUGAGCAGUGCUAGCUUGUCUUUUGGUCCAACAUCUGAAGUGAGCUGAUGUCCAUCUGUCCCAUGAAACUCUUGGACAGAACAAGAGGAUUGUCUGAUUGUUCCUUUUACCAAGUUGUUCUAAACUGUGGAGGCAAGAUGGCUGCCACUGAGACCCAAGCUGUCUGCUGGGCUCUGGCUGUGUGGGCGAACAGCGAGCGUUGUCUAGGAACCUUCACAGAGUCACGACUGUGGGGUCGCAGGAGAAUAAAUUAUAUUUACAAAUCUUUA